rnacentral:rRNA from 1 species
AUUGCCCUAGUAACGGCGAGUGAAGCGGCAAGAGCUCAAAUUUGAAAUCUGGCUCCUCCGGGGUCCGAGUUGUAAUUUGCAGAGGAUGCUUCGGGUGCGGUCCCCGUCUAAGUGCCCUGGAACGGGCCGUCAUAGAGGGUGAGAAUCCCGUCUGGGAUGGGCGGCCGUGCCCGUGUGAAGCUCCUUCGACGAGUCGAGUUGUUUGGGAAUGCAGCUCUAAAUGGGUGGUAAAUUUCAUCUAAAGCUAAAUAUUGGCCGGAGACCGAUAGCGCACAAGUAGAGUGAUCGAAAGAUGAAAAGCACUUUGAAAAGAGAGUUAAACAGCACGUGAAAUUGUUGAAAGGGAAGCGCUUGCGACCAGACUCGCCUGCGGGGGUUCAGCCGGUACUCGUACCGGUGUACUCCCCCGUGGGCGGGCCAGCGUCGGUUUGGGCGGCCGGUCAAAGGCCCCCGGAAUGUGUCACCUCUCGGGGUGUCUUAUAGCCGGGGGUGCAAUGCGGCCAGCCUGGACCGAGGAACGCGCUUCGGCACGGACGCUGGCGUAAUGGUCGUAAGCGGCCCGUCUUGAAACACGGACCAAGGAGUCUAACAUCUACGCGAGUGUUCGGGUGUCAAACCCGUCCGCGCAGUGAAAGCGAACGGAGGUGGGAGCCUUUCGGGGUGCACCAUCGACCGAUCCUGAUGUCUUCGGAUGGAUUUGAGUAAGAGCGUAGCUGUUGGGACCCGAAAGAUGGUGAACUAUGCCUGAAUAGGGCGAAGCCAGAGGAAACUCUGGUGGAGGCUCGCAGCGGUUCUGACGUGCAAAUCGAUCGUCAAAUUUGGGUAUA